rnacentral:rRNA from 1 species
GAUGAACGCUGGCGGCGUGCCUAAUACAUGCAAGUCGAACGAAACUUCUUUAUCACCGAGUGCUUGCACUCACCGACAAAGAGUUGAGUGGCGAACGGGUGAGUAACACGUGGGCAACCUGCCCAAAAGAGGGGGAUAACACUUGGAAACAGGUGCUAAUACCGCAUAACCAUAGUUACCGCAUGGUAACUAUGUAAAAGGUGGCUAUACUACCGCUUUUGGAUGGGCCCGCGGCGCAUUAGCUAGUUGGUAGGGUAAAGGCUUACCAAGGCAAUGAUGCGUAGCCGAAAUGAGAGGUUGAGCGGCCACAUUGGGACUGAGACACGGCCCAAACUCCUACGGGAGGCAGCAGUAGGGAAUCUUCCACAAUGGGCGAAAGCCUGAUGGAGCAACGCCGCGUGGGCGAAGAAGGUCUUCGGAUCGUAAAACCCUGUUGUUAGAGAAGAAAGUGCGUGAGAGUAACUGUUCACGUUUCGACGGUAUCUAAACAGAAAGCCACUGCUAACUACGUG